AGCGAACGCUGGCGGCAGGCCUAGCACAUGCAAGUCGAACGAACUCUUCGGAGUUAGUGGCGGACGGGUGAGUAACACGUGGGAACGUGCCUUUAGGCUCGGAAUAACUCAGGGAAACUUGUGCUAAUACCGAAUGUGCCCUUCGGGGGAAAGAUGUAUCGCCUUUAGAGCGGCCCGCGUCUGAUUAGCUAGUAGGUGAGGUAACGGCUCACCAAGGCGACGAUCAGUAGCUGGUCUGAGAGGAUGACCAGCCACACUGGGACUGAGACACGGCCCAGACUCCUACGGGAGGCAGCAGUGGGGAAUCUUGCGCAAUGGGCGAAAGCCUGACGCAGCCAUGCCGCGUGAAUGAUGAAGGUCUUAGGAUUGUAAAAUUCUUUCACCGGGGACGAUAAUGACGGUACCCGGAGAAGAAGCCCCGGCUAACUUCGUGCCAGCAGCCGCAGUAACAC
rnacentral:rRNA from 1 species